rnacentral:lncRNA from 1 species
GCAAAGCAGAGACAUGGGAUGGCCAAGCACCUGUUCAGUUCUUGAGGCUCUUCAUAGGAGACAGUGAAUUGUCAAAAUUAUAUAGAAAUUUAAGUCAGAUUUUAUUACUUGCAGCCAAAGCCAUCCUAACUGCUAAAGUACUGUUUGCUGGAGUAGGCUGCAAGACGUUACAGAUAGUUUCCUUUCCAUACCACCAUGUUUCCAGUAGGCUUUUCUAUUUGUUAAUGACCUUGAGGAUGCUCUCCAGAGGGUGCAACACACCCAUGCUUUAUCUCAGGAUAAAAACUCUAACAUAUCACCAAAUUCCUGAGAAAGCAGCCAAUGAAAUGCUAGGGUUUGAUGAUGAGAAAGGAGCCAGGGAAGACUGUGGAGUAUGGGACAGAGCCAGGAGUUGGGGAGGAUGGGCUGCAGAAUGGGUAAGCUGUGAGCAGCUUUGUGAGAGCACAGUGGAAGCAGUGGGGAGACCUGCAGUAGGAAGGGCCGGUUCUGGGGUGGGCACCAGAGGCAAAUAGGGUAUAGCCCAAGUGUAAGUUUGACAAUCCAGGGCUACCCCAAAAGGCACAGUUCUGAUCUGGGACACAGCAAAUGGCAGGGAUUCUCAUUUAAACUUGUGGAUUCUUGGAAUCCUACCUGUCCCACUGAAUAGAUGCUAUCAAGUUUUACCUGUCAAUAGUUUUUCUGGUUGGCUGAAGAAACUCAGCUUCUGUGAUAUAAUGUGAUUUAAUCCUAGUGUAUAAUAUGUAUUCCUAACAAGUAGACUCCAGGUCUAAUGAUUUUGGCAUAUACAACUUGAUUUGGGUUUGAUAAGAUAUAUUGCUUUUGAGUCUGGAAAAGAACAUUCCCUUCUCUUUUUUUUCCCCCUCAUUCCAGCUACCACCAUGCUCUUUAAAAAAACAUUCUUUUCUCCUUUGUGUUUCAGAGUAAUAGAAAGUUGUGGGUUUUUUUCUUUUUUGGUGGACAUAGGAUCCAAAAAAACUAAGGCAUAUUAUAUAGAAGUAUAGGACAGGUUCAGCUUCUGCAGUCAUACUAUGUCUCAUUUUCUAAACAGAAUCUUCUGAACUCGCCACUUAGUCUGAAGAUGACAUACACCCUGCAGGUGCUGCCCACAUGAGCAGAGCAUAUGUUUCUGCUAAUGUGCAAUAAAACUUGAGAGAAACUACUGAAGCCUACUGUCUUCAGAAUCCUUCCAAUCAAUUCUCCAAUGAUCCACCCGUGUCCUCUUGGCACCUCCCUUCUGGGUCCUGCCAAGCAUUAGCUCCUGGCUGCAUUUCAUCUCUGCCUGUUUGCUCCUAAGAGGCUAAUCUCAUGAAUUCCAUUUGCUACUUUUAGAAAGGGAAAGGAGGAGGUAAAUCAAGAGAUGAAGUUGUUUUGGAGAUCACCUUAAGGCAAUUUCAAUAAUAAAUGACUACAGGGCUGAGAUUCACAUCCUAAUUAUAAAUGACUACUUGAGUGGAUGGGCUCUUCUUCAAAGUGCUUGGAGGUAUGGUUUGCUCUUGGCUUGGUACUGAUUCAAAAAUACUCCUUAGCUUUAUUAUGCAGUGACCGGCAUAAUUAAGUUGCCAAAUAGCUUUCCCCCUCCCCCAAACUUUUUCACCCUCUUUUCAAUUACAGUGAAGUUUCUGAAAAAUUCAGCUUAGUGCCUUCAAUUUCCGACUUGAUCCAGGCAAAUGAGGCCAGAGUAAACAGAUGGUGCUGCUGCUGCCCUCCUGCAGGCAAGCAGCCUCAGAUGCUGUUGAAGAAGAAAGAAACGGGGGGAUUAUAGAGCUUUGGGCUCUAUGCUAUAAACAUCUUUACUCCACAAGUCAGAAUCACAAAUCUUUCAGUCUGAGCAAUGGCAUCGUCUGAACUCCGUGAGAGAGUAUUUAGAGAAAGAAGUAAUUUAAAGGGCAUCAGUGGUGGAAUUCAAAAUUUUAAUAAAUAAUUAUACAUUCGUUAAGGUGAAAAUUAGAAAAUCUGGCACCCUAUCAGCUUGAACCCUCAAUUGAGUAGCAAUUUUGCCCAAUUAUAGUAAAACACAAUUAGUGCCUAUAAUAAGGGCCCUGUGUCCUUGGAAUUAUUGGAAUGCCUCUGAGUCACCCAAGAAGGAUACGCUGUGUUCAGCAUAGUCCCUGUUACAUUUACUAUAUAUUCUCUUUUUAAAAAGUGUGGCACUCAGUCCUGCAAUGGUAAUUGACAACCACAUGAAACUUCCUCCUUUUUCUUCUAUUGGGAUGUUGUUGAAAGUAUUGUGUAAGCUGGGUGUCUGGUUCACUGAGGAUCACAGAAGAAACUGUUUUUAGAUUUUGCUAUUUGACUCUAUUGACUUGUGUAAACUAUCUUGUUUCCUGCUUUGCUUUGGCCUCUUGAAAGCUCAGUGUCUACAGGCAAUUGUUGAAUGCAUGAGAUAGGAUGCUAAUCUUAUUCCUCCAUUUUAUUUUCUCAUUUGGUUUUCCUUAGUCCCUUGUCCUCUCAACCAUUUACUUUGUCCCUUUUUGUACGCAUUCUAUAAAUCAUUUCACCUUGUCUGCAGCAUAACUGCAAAUGUAAAUGCUUUCUUUCUUUCCCUAAGCCCCACUCUUUGGUGAAUGAAGCAUCACCUAAUUUUAAACAGUGAACGUCUGCUAAGAGUUAGAUUUUAUGAAAACUGUGAAAUGAAACUUUUUUUGUUUGGUCGGUUGGUUUUUUUUUUUUUUUGGUCUCUUUGUCUUUUUAGGGCCACAUCCUAGGCAUAUGGAGGUUCCCAGGCUAGGGGUCCAGUUGGAGCUGUAGUCACCGGCCUGCACCACAGCCUCAGCAACUCGGGAUCCAAGCUGCGUCUGUGACCUACACCACAGCUCACGUGAACACCAAAUCCUUAAUCCGCUAAGCAAGGUCAGGGGUCCAACCUGUAUCCUCAUGGCUGCUAGUCAGGUUCGCUAACCGCUGAGCCAUAAUGGGAACUCCUGAAAUGAAAUUCUUAAUUCCUUCAAGGAAUUUUAUGAAUAGAUAGGCAUACACUUUUUCUGGAUUUGUGUCGCUAAAAUAUGAAAAUGACUUAAAACACUUGAAUGGACACAUGCCACCAUAAAGCUGGGACAUUUAAACGGUUUUUCUAUGUGACUUCUUUUUUUUUCUUUAUUCUUUUUUUUUUUUUUUUUUUUUUUUUUUUUUUUUUUUUUUUUAGGGCUGCAACCCCGGCAUAUGGAGGUUCCCAGGCUAGGGGUCAAAUUGGAGCUACAGCUGCUGGCUUAUACCACAGCCACAGCAAUACCAGAUCUGAGCCGUGUCUGCAACCUACACCACAGCUCAUGUCAAUGCUGGAUCCUUAACCCACUGAGCAAGGCCAAGGAUUGAACCUGAAUCCUCAUGGAUACUAGCCAGAUUCUUUUCCACUGAGCCAUGACAGGAACUCCUCUAUAUAACUUCUAUUACUUAAUAUAGAUCAUUACAUGGCUUCUAGUCAUAUCAAUCUGAUUCAAGUACAUAGAGUCCGAAUUAUGUAAUGCCUUGUAAGAUAUUACAUAAAGAACAGAAUAAAUUAUGCAGCUUCUUAAACCUUGAAUGGCCCGCCUUGGUCACAGUCUCAUUAUCCACUUUUAAUGGAGCAUCAUAUAGCAUUAAUACUCAUUUUCCAAGUCUAUAUGAUUUCUGCAAAAUGUGUCUACACAAAAGGCUGAGGAAGAAUUUUCUUUCCUGUUUAAAUCGAUGAUGAAUAAGUGGGUCACAUGCUUUCAGUUAUGUGUUUUGGGGUGAGAGAAAACGAGAACAGUGUGAGAAUAACAGGGUGUUAGGGUGAAAGCUAGAGCCAUCCCACUUUCCCACAUCUCCCAGGCACAGUAAUCCCAGCUCCAUUAGUACAGAAUGAGAGGCCAUUUGGGUAAAUACAGUCACAUAAAUAUAUCAUUAAGCAGUUUUGUAAAAUUCACAUUAUUUACUCAAGCAAAUAUGUAAUUAGAACAUUUUUUAAAACACAGAUUAUCUACCAAAGAGACUCAAACUGUUCCUUUGGAGCAUUUAAGCCUAUUGGGUAAAACUGUAAUUAGGCCACUAAUUAAAACCAAAUCAUAUUAUUUAUUAAAAGGUGCUUUGCUGAUCUGAUAAGCAUUUUCUUUGCUCUUUUAAGGCAUUUUAAUAAUUGAUUAUUGUAAACCCCUUGGCUAUCACUUGCCCUUCAUUCAUUCCUUUCUGAUUUGCUUCUUGUUUUAUUUUAUGAUGAUGGAUAUAGAUUUAGAUUUCCCUGUGGGUAGUAUGUGCAAAAAUUCCUGAUCUAGCAUUGCCACCCUCCAUCCCUGCUCAGUCCUUCAAAGAUGUGAGGAUGAAAAAACAGCUCACUGUUUUUUUGUUUUUGUUUUUUACUAUCUCCUCUUUGAAUUUUUUUAGGGGAAGUAGUUAGUAGUAAUUGUCCUUUUAUUUUUUCCUCAUUGUUCCACAUGUACUUGAUAAGAUAAAAUUUCUUUCAAGUUUUAAAACACUGAGGUUGCAUAACCUUUCUGGAAAUGGAUUUGUUCUGAAGCAAGUCAGAUUUUCUUUCUGGGCCAUUUUUGUGACCAAAAUAUGUGUAUUGGUAAAAUGUUUAAUUCACUGUAGUCUUCUGUCUGUGGUCUUGAAAAGGAGUGAUGACCCAUAUAGAAAGCAAGCCUUAAUCCUGUCUCUGGUUUGUGUAGAGCAGUAUUCACUUAAGCCUUCCAAGGAACUUAGGUCCAAAGGAUUUUAAUGGGUGGCUGUGGGAAAAGAGUAACCUAAUUUUGGAUUGCUUUGCCCCAGUCUAGUCUCCAUAUUUUCACUAGUGUCUGGGGCAGGGAGGGGAAUGUUUAUUUUUUCUUCCUAAAAAUGCAAUCUGAUCAAUCAGUUUCUUAAAAGCGUAAAAUCCUUUUUUUGCUCAGAGCCAUUGUUUUUGCUUUACCCUUUGUUUGGAAUCCUGCCUGGCUCUGGAUUCUCCUUUGCCUAGGCAACUCAAAGUCUCAGUGCAAUGUGCAGUUAUGAACACAGAAGUGGGAGCCAGACUGUCUAGGUUUGAAUCCAGCUCCUCAUCUAAUUAGCUGAGCAAACUUGGCAAGUCAUAUACCUUCCUUGCUGCUAGUUUCCUGUUUACCUCCCUCUUAACUAAAGAUCAGUGAGAAUCACUAUACAUAAAGCACCUACAAAGUGAUCACUAUUAUUUAGGUCUUUUGUUUCUGGGAAACUUCCUUAACCCUCCAAAUCUUGGUUCUCCUUGUACCUUUCCUGUUUUAACCCCUACCAUACAUUGCAUCACACUUACUUAUUGAUUACCUUUCUCUUACAAUUAGACUAAGCACUCCAUGAGAGAUAACAUAAGAGAUGAAGUUUCUUUAGUGAUCUAUCUAUAACACCUAGCACACUGCUGGCUCCUAGAAUACCUAUUUGGUUUGGGGCACUGUGUUAGGUGCCAGAGAGACGCUAGUAAACAGAAAAGACAUUGCUCACCCUCAUGUAGCUUUCAGUCUAGUAGGGAGAUUCUGCGCCAAUAAUUCU